rnacentral:lncRNA from 1 species
CCCUGCCUCCUUUCUUUUCGUUCCAUUUAAACUAUAUGUGCUUUCUUUUUUUUUUUUUUUUUGAGGAAGACUAGCCCUAAGCUAACAUCUGCUGCCAAUCCUCUUUUUGCUGAGGAAGACUGGCCCUGAGCUAACAUCCAUGCCCAUCUUCCUCCAAUUUAUAUGUGGGAUGCCUACCACAGCAUGGUGUGCCAAGUGGUGCCAUGUUUGCAUCUGGGAUCUGAACCAGCGAACCCUGGGCCGCCGAAGUGGAACAUGUGAACUUAACCGCUGUGCCACCAGGCCAGCCCCUAAACUAUACGUACUUUUAAAUAACCGUCAACUAAGGCUCUUUGGUUGCCAGGGACAGAAAAUCUGUCUCAAUUGUUCUAGCCCAGAAUUAGGGCUAGCAUCAGACACAACUGGAUUCAGGGCUAAACUCAUAUGUUAUCAGGACUUGAUUAUUUCCCAUUGCUCAGCUCUGUUCUCUGUUACAUUGGCUUUAGACCCAGGUUCCCUGUGACAGAAAAAUGACAGCAGUUCCAGGCCCUAUACGUCUCAGAUUUGAGGUUCAAAGGAAAAGAGUGAGUCUCUUUCUCAGAAGUCCUAUGGAAAAUCUCAAGGAGCUCAAAGCUUGGACGCUGGCAGGAAACCAUGGACGCCCAGAAAGCCUCGUGGUCCCUUGUGUGAAAUCUGUCUCCCUUUCUCCUUCCAGAAGAUUGCUGAGCAUCAGGCCGGCCUAUCACUGCCUCCUCAACAGCAGCCUUCCUCUGUGGCCUGUACUUGGCCCAUUCCCCCGACCCCCUGACUUUUCCUUGGAGAUCCAGCGCACACUGUGGUGGUAGUGGGGGUGGGCAAGCAGGGUAGGGAGGGUGGUGGCCAUCUUUCUUAGUAGACGGGGCACCCUGUUUCUGUGGUCCUGAGUCCUGAUUCUGUCGCAUUCUCAAUGUCCUGGGUGGGGUGAGAAGCCUUCCAGUUUCACAAAUCACAACCGGCCUGAACAAGUGGGUAUUCCACCCAUUUUUCAAGUUCAGCCCAAACACUGCAUCCUCUGGGAAGCAUUGCCUGGUUUCUCCCACUCUGUGAACAUUCUGUGCACACAACCCAGCUCUGUCAAGGGUUGAUCUCAGUUCCUGACUCACUGUCUCCCCAGCCGCAGGGUAAACCCCCUUGGGCUGGGACCAGGCCUUCCGAUUUGCUGAAUCCAUUGCAAUGUGCACCUCCAUUUUGGGCAGACAGUAGGUGCCCAAUAAAAGCUCGCUGUUUGAUUCUUUUUCAACGUUCCUCUGAC